ACAAUAGUCCCACCACCUUUAGAAUUACUCAAAUGCAAAGAGAAAUACAUAUCACCCAAUAGAGUAGCAACAAGAUUCCCAAUCAAGAAGGUUAUAAUGGCGUUAACAUCAACAAAACCAUCAAUGUUAGGGAACAAAUCUUGACCAUAGAUGAGUAAUACAAAGAUGGCUUCAAAAGCAUCCACACUACCGGCUUGAGCAAAG
rnacentral:lncRNA from 1 species